rnacentral:rRNA from 1 species
UCGCCAGACUCCUACGGGAGGCAGCAGUGAGGAAUAUUGGUCAAUGGGCGGGAGCCUGAACCAGCCAAGCCGCGUGAGGGAAGAAGGUACAGCGUAUCGUAAACCUCUUUUGUCAGGGAACAAAGGCGGGGACUAGUCCCCGGAUGAGGGUACCUGAAGAAAAAGCAUCGGCUAACUCCGUGCCAGCAGCCGCGGUAAUACGGAGGAUGCGAGCGUUAUCCGGAUUUAUUGGGUUUAAAGGGUGCGCAGGCGGAUUUUUAAGUCAGCGGUCAAAUCGUGGGGCUCAACCCCAUCCAGCCGUUGAAACUGGCAGACUUGAGUUGGCGAGAAGUACGCGGAAUGCGCGGUGUAGCGGUGAAAUGCAUAGAUAUCGCGCAGAACUCCGAUUGCGAAGGCAGCGUACCGGCGCCAGACUGACGCUGAGGCACGAAAGCGUGGGGAUCGAACAGGAUUAGAUACCCCUGUA